CAGCCGUAAACUAUGCGCGUUAGGUGUACUGGUGACCACGCGUUACUGAUGCGCCGAAGAGAAAUCGUGAAACGCACCACCUGGGAAGUACGGUCGCAAGGCUGAAACUUAAAGGAAUUGGGCGGGGGAGCACCACAACAGGUGGAGCCUGCGGUUUAAUUGGAUUCAACGCCGGACAUCUCACCGGAUAAGACAGCUGAAUGAUUGUCAAUCUGAAGGUUUUACAUGACUAGCUGAGAGGAGGUGCAUGGCGUCAGUGACU
rnacentral:rRNA from 1 species